GACUUUGCUCUUAAUUUUCAUACUUGGAUUGGUGCUUCCGGUUAUUCAUAUUUCAUCUGCCACUGCCACUGAAACUUAGUCAAAAGGCUGCAUGGUUGCAAACAUAAUCUCAACUCUCUCUCUCUCUCUCUCUCUCUAUCUAUCUGUCUUUUAGCCAAUGCGCUUGCGAGCUGAUUGCAAAUGUUGAAUGGAAACCUCAGAGAUGACUUUACGUCCCCCCGGCCACCCAAACCCUUCAGCAUGCGACUUAUGCAUACAUAUAUUGAGCAUUUUUAGUUGGUUCAUUGUUUUUUUUUUUUUUUUUUUUUUUUUUGGGUGUGGCUAGGCCUGCCCGCCUGCUAGUAAUGCGAUAAACGAAGUGCAACCCAUACGGAACACUCGUUGCCCAUAACAACCCAAAGUAUUCAUGCAAUAUACACGAAAAUUUAAUUGGCCAUUUAAUGGAAAAAUAAUUAGCAACAGACUGCCAUGUUGCUGCAGCAUCAACAACAACAACAACAACAGCAACAAUGGCAAUUGUUGAAAAUUGAAAAACCGUCUCACAUAUUGCUAACAGAGAAUAAAAUGUCAUAUUUAUUAUACAUAAUGGGGAGAAAAAGAGAAAUACAAAAUGAGAGCCAGAUAACUAUAAAUUUCAAUACAUCAAUCAAUAUAUUACAAAUUUAUAAUUUCACAUGUGCAACAAAAAGACAUAAAUAAAGCUGUUAAAAACAUGUCUACGAUAUAUCGAUGGAUUUAGUUCGAUAUUAAUAUAUCGGCUUACUUAGCGACGGGCCGAAGCCACGACUUUUAAAGCUUUAUUUAUAUGUCUUGUCUUAAUUAAAUCAUAAUGAUUUUGUAAGCUAUUAAGUCGAUCGAUUGGAGCAACUAUCGACUGUACCCGUUUAUCGAUGAUUUUGCAGCCCUACAAAUGAAUUCAAAUUCCAAUUUGUUCGAAGAACAAAGUAAACUUCAGUUGAAAUUAAAAAUAUGGAUUGAUUACAUCUUGUGAUAUACCCUUUGUGAAAUACAUCCAUUACAGGGUACAGAUACAUGAAUUUAUCAUUAACGUUAUGUAAAGUCUUGUUAACGUUUCAAAUACAUAAAACGUUAUGUGUAUUUACAGAUGGCAUGUUCGAAAUACAUUUUUGCAUAUUUGACAUAUUAACCAGCGCUGUUUUUGACAGAAAUUAGCAAGGGUGAGCGGCAGAGUGCAGACAUGGGACACGCCUAUGUAAAGCACGCAAUAAAAUGCCAGGCGACAGAGGCAGAAUAAAAAAAUGAAAUAAAAACAACAACGAGAGAAAAUACCAACAAAA